rnacentral:antisense_RNA from 1 species
AUUUUUCACAUGUAUCGUACUCUUACCAAUUUGUUCUCCACGCUUUGUUCCG